rnacentral:rRNA from 1 species
AGCAGUCGCCACGGUAAUACGAAGGGUGCAAGCGUUACUCGGAAUUACUGGGCGUAAAGCGUGCGUAGGUGGUGGUUUAAGUCCGUUGUGAAAGCCCUGGGCUCAACCUGGGAAUUGCAGUGGAUACUGGGUCACUAGAGUGUGGUAGAGGAUAGUGGAAUUUCCGGUGUAGCAGUGAAAUGCGUAGAGAUCGGAAGGAACAUCUGUGGCGAAGGCGACUAUCUGGGCCAACACUGACACUGAGGCACGAAAGCGUGGGAAGCAAACAGGAUUAGAUACCCGCGUAGUCCCUGUCUCUUAUAC